AUUGAACGCUGGCGGCAGGCCUAACACAUGCAAGUCGAGCGCGCGGCGGACGGGGGAGUAAUGUAUGGGGACUGCCCGAUAGAGGGGGAGAACUACUGGAAACGGUAGCUAAUACCGCAUACUAUCGGAUAACCCAGAUGGGAUUAGCGAGUAGGUGGGGUAAUGGCUCACCUAGGCGACGAUCCCUAGCUGGUCUGAGAGGAUGAGCAGCCAAACUGGGACUGAGACACGGCCCAGACUCCUACGGAGGCAGCAGUGGGGAAUAUGGCACAAUGGGCGCAAGCCUGAUGCAGCCAUGCCGCGUGUAUGAAGAAGGCCCUAGGGUUGUAAAGUACUUUCAGCGGGGAGGCGUUACCGACAGAAGAAGCACCGGCUAACUCCGUGCCAGCAGCCGCGGUAAUUC
rnacentral:rRNA from 1 species